rnacentral:rRNA from 1 species
GCUCAGGAUGAACGCUAGCUACAGGCUUAACACAUGCAAGUCGAGGGGUAGCAGGGUAGCAAUACCGCUGACGACCGGCGCACGGGUGAGUAACACGUAUCCAACCUUCCCAUAACUCGGGGAUAGCCUUCCGAAAGAAAGAUUAAUACCCGAUAGUACUUUAUUAAGGCAUCUUAAGAAAGUUAAAGAUUUAUUGGUUAUGGAUGGGGAUGCGUUCCAUUAGAUAGUUGGUGAGGUAACGGCUCACCAAGUCUUCGAUGGAUAGGGGUCCUGAGAGGAAGGUCCCCCACAUUGGUACUGAGACACGGACCAAACUCCUACGGGAGGCAGCAGUGAGGAAUAUUGGUCAAUGGGCGAGAGCCUGAACCAGCCAAGU